rnacentral:rRNA from 1 species
CUGGGUGGAUGAGUGGCGAACGGGUGAGUAACACGUGAGUAACCUGCCCCUUCUUUGGGAUAACGCCCGGAAACGGGUGCUAAUACUGGAUAUUCACUUGCCUUCGCAUGGGGGUUGGUGGAAAGGGUUUUUUCUGGUGGGGGAUGGGCUCGCGGCCUAUCAGCUUGUUGGUGGGGUGAUGGCCUACCAAGGCUUUGACGGGUAGCCGGCCUGAGAGGGUGACCGGUCACAUUGGGACUGAGAUACGGCCCAG